UGAGGAAUAUUGGUCAAUGGGCGCAAGCCUGAACCAGCCAUGCCGCGUGCAGGAAGACGGUCCUAUGGAUUGUAAACUGCUUUUAUUUUGGAAUAAACCUCUUUACGUGUAGAGAGCUGCAGGUACCAAAUGAAUAAGCACCGGCUAACUCCGUGCCAGCAGCCGCGGUAAUACGGAGGGUGCAAGCUUUAUCCGGAAUCAUUGUGUUUAAAGGGUCAGCAGGCGGUCUUAUAAGUCAGUGGUGAAAGCCUACAGCUCAACUGUAGAACUGCCAUUGAUACUGUAAGACUUGAAUUCGAUCGAAGUGGGCGGAAUAUGAAAUGUAGCGGUUAGAUGCUGAGAUAUGUCAUAGAACAGCGAUAGCGAAGGAAGCUCAAUAGGUGUGGAUUGACGGUCAGGGACGAAAUCGUGGGGAGAAAGUA
rnacentral:rRNA from 1 species